rnacentral:rRNA from 1 species
AUUGAACGCUGGCGGCAUGCUUUACACAUGCAAGUCGAACGGCAGCACGGGUGCUUGCACCUGGUGGCGAGUGGCGGACGGGUGAGUAAUACAUCGGAACGUGUCCAGAAGAGGGGGAUAACGCAUCGAAAGAUGUGCUAAUACCGCAUAUGCUCUGAGGAGGAAAGUAGGGGAUCGAAAGACCUUACGCUUUUGGAGCGGCCGAUGUCUGAUUAGCUAGUUGGUGGGGUAAGGGCCUACCAAGGCGACGAUCAGUAGUUGGUCUGAGAGGACGACCAGCCACACUGGGACUGAGACACGGCCCAGACUCCUACGGGAGGCAGCAGUGGGGAAUAUUGGACAAUGGGCGAAAGCCUGAUCCAGCAAUGCCGCGUGUGUGAAGAAGGCCUGAGGGUUGUAAAGCACUUUCAAUCGUGAAGAAAAGUUGCAGGCUAAUACCCUGUGACCUUGACGUUAACGAUACAAGAAGCACCGGCUAACUCCGU